rnacentral:rRNA from 1 species
AUUGAACGCUGGCGGCAUGCUUUACACAUGCAAGUCGAACGGCAGCGCGGGCUUCGGCCUGGCGGCGAGUGGCGAACGGGUGAGUAAUGCAUCGGAACGUGCCCAGUAGUGGGGGAUAGCCCGGCGAAAGCCGGAUUAAUACCGCCUACGACCUGAGGGUGAAAGCGGGGGACCGAAAGGCCUCGCGCUAUUGGAGCGGCCGAUGUCGGAUUAGCUAGUUGGUGGGGUAAAGGCUUACCAAGGCGACGAUCCGUAGCUGGUCUGAGAGGACGACCAGCCACACUGGGACUGAGACACGGCCCAGACUCCUACGGGAGGCAGCAGUGGGGAAUUUUGGACAAUGGGGGCAACCCUGAUCCAGCCAUGCCGCGUGCGGGAAGAAGGCCUUCGGGUUGUAAACCGCUUUUGUUCGGGAAGAAAUCCUCUGGGCUAAUACCCCGGGGGGAUGACGGUACCGGAAGAAUAAGCACCGGCUAACUACGUG